rnacentral:rRNA from 1 species
CAGAGGAGCCAAGCGUUGUCCGGAUUGACUGGGCGUAAAGCGCACGCAGGUGGUCGUGCAAGUGUCGUGUGAAAGCAGCUCGCUCAACGAGCUGAGGCAUGGCAGACUGCAUAACUCGAGCCCGUGAGAGGCCGGUGGAAUUGCCGGUGUAGUGGUGAAAUGCGUAGAGAUCGGCAGGAACACCCAGGGGGAAGCCAGCCGACUGGCACGGUGCUGACACUGAGGUGCGACAGCGUGGGGAGCAAACGGGAUUAGAUACCCCGGUAGUCCACGCCUUAAACGAUGGAUACUAAGUGUCGGCGGGUUACCGCCGGUGCCGCAGCUAACGCAGUAAGUAUCCCGCCUGGGAAGUACGGCCGCAAGGUUG